rnacentral:lncRNA from 1 species
UAGCCUCUAGGCACCCUCAGUUGCUGGGGAAAUGCUUCGUCAGGCUGAAUCGUUUGCAUAGUCAGUUUUUCCGUGGAUUUUUUCUACUUAAAGGAUCUACCUAGAGUAGUCUGUCAAUGUUCUGCAGAGGUCUUGCGUAUUUGUUAUCUUAAGGCCUGUUCGGAGGCCCUCUGCUCCUCGACUCUGCUCACGGAGCUGCCGGGACCGUAGUUGAGAAUUACGGAGCGGACGAAUCGGUACUCCGCAGAUCUUUCUAUUUUGCGGAGCUGGUCGAGUGCCGAACGGGUUCUUACUAUGUCAUGUGCUCAUUAAACUUUUGCAAUGUGAAUGGAUUCUAAACCGGAGGUUGCUUCUACAACUGGGUUUCUCUCCACUAAGCCCGCUGUUAGAACUUUCUGAUGGCUUUGUCAUGUGCUUCCUUUUUGCUUUUGUUUGUUCGUUAGUUUGCUUGAGCCUCCAGGGAGGUGACUUUGCCAUGUUUUUAAGCCCGCUGUCAGAACUUUCUGAUGACUUGCCAUGUUUUUUACAAUCGAGCAGGACGCUUCUCAGCUGCUGAGAGACAUAAUUAACCUGAUUUCAAGCAUCGGGAGCAACCGGCACUACUGCACUCGGGCGUCUAUUUGACUAAAAAGAUUACUACUACCCCUGUUCCUAAAUGCAAAUGUUUU